UCGACAGCUGGUACGGCACGUUCAUGCCGGCCGACUUGGCCGCGGCCAGCACGCCGGCGGCGAUCUCGUCGUUGCUGCCGAA
rnacentral:tRNA from 1 species